ACUCGCUCUCCGUCCCGGCCGCCCAGCGGUUCCCCUUUCCGUGGCCUGGGCAGGCGCUGAGGCACAGGGAGCCGCACGUUCCCGAGGCACAGGGAGCCGCACGUUCCCGAGGCACAGGGAGCCGCACGUUCCCGGGGAAGGUGCCAGAGGCCAGCUGGACGGCCCCGGCGCACUCCCGCCCCGGCGCACUCCCGCCCCGGCGCACUCCGACCCCGGCGCACUCCCGCCCCGGCGCACCCUGCUCCCCGGCGCGUACCCAGGGGCCACGAUUUUGGCUGGGCGAAAGCGGCCCGCUCCCGCCUCUCCUUGAGUGCGCUGAUUACAUCUACCGGAGACACCUUCCCUUCCCUUGGGGAUCCCAACUCUCAGGUCGCGAUCCUCUUCCUAUCUGCCCUCCCCCACCCCCGCCAACUCCAUUUUCUAGCCACCCAGAGGCCCCUUCACCCCAGCUUUUCCCGCCACCCCCACCUAUCCCCGUUCCCCUAGUUUUCCUCUGCACCCUAGGCGAUCGCCCCCUUCCCCGGAGCGGUGGCCGCGGCUACACUCACCGCGAGGGUCAGCAGGAGCAGCCGGCAGAGGGCUCCGUUCCAGGAGCCGGAGGGGCGGGCUGCCUCCAUGGAGAGGGCUCGGGGCAGGUCGCGGGCCGAGCGUCGGGCCGGGGUAGGAGGGCUCCGCGGGGCGAGGGCCGCGGCCGGAGCGCAGUCUGGGCCCGCUGCUCAGGAGGAGCGCGAGGCGGAGGAGGUGGGGCGCGCGGAGAGGUGCUUUUCUUAGCUUCUCUGAAGCGCCUGCCUCUCAUCCAAGGGGCUUUUCCUUUGGCGGAGGGAGGGGCUCCAGACGCGUCCAAAAGACACCGAUCGGCCCCUCCUUGUUGUCUAUUUAAGACUUAAGACUUCAUUUCUCUAAGAAAGCCACGGGUGGGAACUCCCUCUCGCCGCCACCCUUUUACCUGCGCAAGGUGUUUCUCACCAGCGGACGCCACCUAUAAGGCCCAUCUCCCCCACCACGCCCCGGUGUCCGCUCCGCCAGGCGAGAUUAACAGCCGGCCCUGCCCAGCAGAAGCCCUGACUGCACAAAGACUCACUCCUGAGUGCGCGGUCGGCCCCGGCUCCGCCCUGCCCGCUGCCCUCGGCGACGGCCGUGGUCCCUGCCCUGGGGUCAAUUACAGAGCGAGGUCUGAGCCGCAGAGGCUGGGUUUUAGGUCACAGCUGCCUGAGGCCCACCUGACAGAAAGUUGACUCCAGGGAGACUGUUACACACUCUACUGGAGUGAAUUUCCUACACACACCCACAAGCAGUUCAGACAUCAUAGUCAUCUGAGGCACCAUUCUUUGGGGUCUUGUGUUUUUAGGAAUUUACUGGCAUGACAAUGAUACAAGACAAUCGCCAUAAUUUAGAGACAAAAAUACAUAUAUACAUACAUACGUACGUAAAGUUAGGGAAUCAAGGCGACUGCAAAAUAAUAAAAUCGAGGGUGAGUUACUAUAAGAAAUGCAUCCAUUGAGGUCCUAGUCGUGGGCUACAUGUGGUUACUGAUUUUCUCCAAGAACAUCCCUGGUCACAAAUAGAGUUAUAACUUAUUUCCUAUACCGGACUCCUGAACAUCCAGUGGAGAGUUCUCACCUUCUUUACUACCAUCAAAACCAGAGUUCAUGGUGAGAAAUGAAUAAGAAUGGGAUAAUUUACAUUUUUAUUUGAAGUGCACUUAAACUAAAUGAAUUAUUGCAGCACACAAUCUGGAAGAUUAAGAUAUAAAUGCUGUUUCUUUUAGCUCUUCAGAAAGCAAUGACAAGGCAUCUGACUCAUCCUCCUGCACCUCUUUUCAAUUACUGACUUAAACCAGGUAAGCCUGACCACAAAAGAGAAACUUGUCUGCUCCCUUUUAUUUGGUUUAAGUUUCCUCAGGGAUGUCCUGAGAAUCCUAUGUGAAAAGCCAACCCUGACACUCACACCAUUUCGAUUCUUGAAAAUGUUCACCAUCUUAACACCAUUGUAUGCCGAGCCAGAAUUACUGCAAUACUGAGUGUAUAUUUAAAUUAAAAAUUAAUGUCAAACAGCGCAUGCCUUACAUUCUCUGUGUCUGUGCUAUGCUCAUGCCCUAUUUUAUUAACGAAUGCCACUAAUGAGCUGUUCUGUCUCCAUAUCCAUAAAAUUAUCAUUGACCCUUUGCUAGUAAAAUAAGCCUGAGUCAUCAGCAUGAGACUAUAAUUGACAUCCUUCCGUUUCCAUAUUUUUUAACACUCAUAGUUUUCCAUCAAUGAUACCAUAAGCACACCUCAUCCUAUUAAAGAUGACAUCAUGGUCUCUAGCAUGAAGCUUUUCAGAGGACAAAAAGAAAGCUAUAAGCGUUUCAGGUUCUGGAGAUCUACUCAGACUAUCAUCACAGGCUUUGACUAUAGGACAUUUCCAAACUCUUGCCUACUCUUUACCCUCUGAUGCCUUAAGGGCAGCUCAUGUUUUUCCUCAUUCCAGGAAAGGGCGGAAGAGCAAUUUGACUAGAAUUCAUCUUAGAUAUUUAUUUUCCUCUUUCACAUUAAUUGAUAGAGGCUAUUAAAAUGGUGAUUUGUUUGUUUUAUUCCAAAAAAAACUUUCAACAAAAGAAUGGAAUAUAAAGUACUUUCUCUGAGCAAGUACCCAAUUUAUUUAAUGUAUUUAGGUUAGGCUAUAUGGUCACUGAAAUAGAUCCCUCUAAAACAUAGGUUUGAAACAAAGGGCAUAUAUUUAAAAAAAAAAUGGAAUGUGAGUAGAUGUGAUCUUUUUUUAAAAGAAUGACUUUUGCUUAUGAAUAUGAUUCUGCUGCAUGAACUAGUUUCCCAAUAAAAAUAUACUUUUUAUAGUAAAAAGUACACCAGACCGAAAGUAAGAAGCAACUUCUUUUGUGUUGCUUAAGUAAUCUCUCAGGUCUCAACACUCCCAUUUGUCCAUCUGUUAAGUAAGAUAAUCAAUAAUAAUAAGGUAAUACUGGAGGCUAUCUAUGGUACUUUCUACAUCUAAAAUUAAACUAUUUAGACUGCUUAUGACAGAUUUUUGAGAAGCUUGGCUGGAAAUGGAUGUUCAUUUCAGAGAUAACAUAGAAAGUCAGGGCCAGAGCAAUCCUUAAAGAAGUGAACAAUUUGCAAUCCAAAGCCCACAGGCCAAAUCUAUCCAGCCUAGCUUCACAAUUUUCUAAUAUCAGAGGCCAGAAACUAUUAAGGGCAGCAACAACCAAAAAAAUCCCACUUACUCACUGAUGAGCAAAUAGAGACAGCUCUGCAUGAGCUUUGUGAAUCCUGCCAGUUCCUCCCCUGCCAGCACCAGAGGAUGAGUGAUCCACAGGGACAGAUGUCAUCUUCAGGACGAAACCAUCUCGGCAUGGCAUAUGACAUAGAAUGGAAUUCAAAAGCAAGGGAAACACAAACCUAACAGGCAAAAAGCAAGAUUAAAGGACAUUGUCUAGUUGCUUCAUAGGUUGGAGCAGAAAGGGAAACAUCUGCUAAUCACCGUAAAAUAAGCACAAUUUUUUAACCUCUCAGAGCUGUUGCAAGAAUUAAAUGAUAUCAAGGCACUCAGAAGAAAGCCUGGCACAUUCUAAGUGCUCCCUCAGUGUCAGUUAUUGUGGACAUCCAUCUUCCUCGCCAUUGUACGACCACAUCUCUCUGAUCCAUUCACUUCCUCCUCAUGACAGCUCCCUAUUUCCUGUCCUUCCAGUACCUCUCCUCAGAGAGUUCUCUGUCCUGGUCUAGGGCUGAACCCUAGUGCUAAUUCAUUCACCUUCAACCCCCUCUCUUCAACACUAACCCCAGAUCUUGUCUGGCAUAAAUGAGUUAACAAUGCAAUACUAAAAUGAGCUGUGCAGUUUGAGUCAGCUGUGUACUUUCUGAAAAUUUGAAACAAUUGUUUAAAAAGAAUCCUUCUCAAUUUAAGAAAAAGUUUUAAAAUUCUGUGUUUUCCGACAAAUGCUAUCUUUACUUUUUAAUUCUAUGUAUAUUUCUUUGAAUUUCACUUUUAAAAAUUGAUCUCAGUGAAACAUAGUAUGCUAAUCAAGUUCAAUUUCUAUUACAUUUCAAAGUUUGUUUUUUUUUUUUUUUUUUGAGACGGAGUCUCGCUCUGUCACCCAGGCUGGUGUGCAGUGGGCGAUCUCCAUCUCACUACAAGCUCCGCCUCCUGGGUUCACGCCAUUCUCCUGCCUCAGCUUCCCGAGUAGCUGGGACUACAGGCACCCGCCACUAUGCGCGGCUAAUUUUUUGUAUUUUUAGUAGAAACAGGGUUUCACCGUGUUAGCCAGGAUGGUCUCGAUCUCCUGACCUCGUGAUCCGCCCGCCUCGGCCUCCCAGAGUGCUGGGAUUACAGGCGUGAGCCACUGCGCCUGGCCUCAAAGUAUUUUUUAAAAAUUCAAGGUAGAGUAUGAAAUAAAUUAUAAAUCAGUUCUUAUGACAAUAGUUUUCAUUUAGCAGUCACUCAAUUAAAACAAGCAAAUGAAUUAAUUCUGAGGCAAUUGUGUUGAACGUGACUGGAGACAGUUCACAAUGUCUGGUCUGCCUUUAAUAGACGCAGUUGACAUGAGCUCCCCCUCCCGCCCAGUGGUGCAAUGAAAUAAUGUAUCCUUAAAACUACAAAACUUUCAUUUGUAUGCUUUACCAAUUAACUAACUCAGCAAGUAUUUACUGAGCAUCUACUAUGUCUAAGGCAUUGUUCUGGGCAUGGGAAAUGCAGUGGUGAACAAGACAGAAAGGACACUUACUCAAGGGAAACACCUACAGAAUUAUAAGAUAGCUAGGUUGGAUAAGAAAUACUCUCCACUUGAGAUUUAUAUCAUGUUGACUUCUUUGGGAAAAAAAAAGUGAAGAUUAAUCUCGAAUUAAUUGCAAAAUAAAAUAUAGAGUGUUUUAUAAGGAUAAAAAAAUUACCAAGAUAAAACUUGUUAAUAUCUUUUCAUGGAUUAUGAAAUGUUUCUCUAGAUAACCUAAUCUAGAACAUGUAUCCUCUUGGCUUGCUGGAUUGCAAUAACUCUUGGUUUUUUUCUUCCCUUGCUGGCUGUAUUUAUGUAUUCUCCUUGGCUGGUUCCUUCUUCUCUGACCUCUAAAUAUUAUUGUGCCUGUAAAUAUUUUUUUCUUUUUUUUUUUUUGUGAGAUGGAGUUUUGCUCUGUCGCCCAGGCUGGAGUGCAGUGGCAUGAUCUCGGCUCACUGCAACCUCUGCUUCCUGGGUUCAAGUAAUCACUUUUCUGCCCCAACCUCCUGAGUAACUAGGACUACAGGUGCCCGCCACCAUGCCCAGCUAAUUUUUUUUUGUAUUUCUAGUAGAGACGGGGUUUCACCAUGUUGGCCAGGCUGAUCUCAAACUUCUGACCUCAGGUGAUCUGUCUCUCUCGGCUCCCAAACUGCUGGGAUUGCAGGCGUGAGCCACCGCACCCAGCCUGCCUCUAAAUAUUGCUAUAUACAAAUACAUCUGCAUUGUUUCAAACCCUUGCACUCGCAAGGCUCCUUCUGCUGUAAGUACUUUGUACAUGCCCUUUCCUCUUUCCCAGAAUCUUUUUCUAUCUCUCUGGCCUGGUUAACUCCCAUUCACCCUACAAAUCUCAACUUUUAUUUUCUUCCCCACCUGGUCAAAUCUUCCACAUUAAACUGCUGCCUCUCAUUUAGAGCACUUGUCACAAUUGCAAUGUUAAAUUUGUUCAAAUAAUUAUUUGAUUAAUACUUGUUUCUCAACAAAGACUACAUUUCCAUGAUUGUAGUAACCCUUUUUUUGUUCAUGCUUGUAUUCCCAGCAUUACUAUGACUCCUGAUUCUUAGUAGACACUUAAUAAACAUUUGCUGAAUGAGUGAGCAAAUGAAUAAAUAAAUGACUAAUGAGCAUUUCUGACAAGCAAUUCUUUGUUUUCCUUUUUCUAUUCUAGUGUUUAUCAGCAUAUUAAAGUGAUGUCUUGGGCCACAUUUGAUAGGGUGGGAGUUCCUAGUCUAAUCUCAAAUAUGCUGGACGUGUAUUACAGUAGCAUAUUAAUAAAAUAUGAGAUGGGCCUACCAAACAUUUCUAGUAUGGCUUUUGCACAAGAACAGACAAAUAUACUUAUGAAUUUUAACUUAGAACUCCAAAGAGACCAGUGUAUAAAUGGAUACUUAAUAUCUGAUAAAAGUGGCAGCAGACACAAUGAAGAAAAUAAGGAAUUAUUUAGUGGUGGCAUUGGGAAAACAGACUCACUAUUGGAGAAAAAUAAAAUUGGUCCCCUACACAACCAAUUUUGUAUUUAUACGUAUACUGUGGUGGAAGACACAUAAAGUUAAUGAAAAAUAAUACAGGAGAACAUCAGUGUUAUACAGAGGUAGGAAAAGAUUUUUGAAAUAAAACCUAAAAAGCAUAUACCAUAUAGGAAUAAAAAAAAACAGAUACACUUGAUUACAUUAAAAUGCAGGCUUUCUAUUUGACAGGUGACACCAUAAAUAAAGUUGAUAAACAGAAAAUAGCUUGGGAGAAGACAUUUGUCAUGACUAAAACAGAUGAGAGAAUAAUAUCUAGAAAAUACAAGGAACUCCUACAUGUCAACCAGAAUGUGGCAGAACCACAACAGAAAAAGAUGGACAAAGAGUAUUACUAGGCAUACUCUUACAACAGAGGAAUCUGAAGCCUACCAAGUAUAUUUUAAGAAAUCAGAGAAAGGCACAUCAAAGUCAUAAAAUAUCCUUCUAUACCUAUUUGGCAAAAAUUAGGAAGCUAAUAGCAAAUGUUGAUAGGCCUGUGGAUGUUUGGGAACCCUGGUGCAUUGUUGGUAGAAUUAUAAAUUUGAUCAAAUAUUCAGGACAGUAGCCUAACAAUGAUUGUUCAAGGUAAUAAGUGAAUACCCUAAAGCCCAGCAGUUUAUCUCUUGGCUAAUAACCCAGAGAAAUUCUCACUGAAGUCUAUGAAGGGAUGGUUUGUUGUAGAGGGAGUUGGGAGCAAUCUGGGUUACCAUCCUUGGAGAGUAGAUAAAUUAUGGUGACAGAUCCACCCCAUGGAUCACUGUGCAAAGUUAGAACCAAUAGGCUAAUGGCAAUAUGAAUGGAUCUUAAAAACAUAGAACCCAGUGAAAUAACUAAAAAUAGAAUAUUUCUACAUCCAAUAUAAAUUUAAAAAGACAAAAAAUCAUUACACUGAACAGCAGCAUUUUAAUAAAAAUUAUAUAAACAAAAACACACAUUCUAAACACAUUCAACUAAUUUUUGUGGAGGUAGAAAGGAAUGAGUUUGAGAAGCAAAGCUUGUGAAGGGGUUAAUAAGGAGAAAAUAAUUAAUAUAUCACAAUAUGUUUAAAUCUCAUUUAUUUUAGUAAGUGGAAGAGGAAAAAAUUAAAUAGUAUAUUAUUUUUUCCUAUUAGUUAUAUGUCUGUUUAUAUAGCAUUGGUAUAUAUAAUACUUUUUUCUACCUUAUAAUCAGGAAGCAGUAAUGCAAGGAAUUAUUAUUAAACCAAACGGGUAGAGAAAUUAACAUUGUUCCAAAAACAGGAAGGACUGUAAAACCUGGUGAUCACAUAUAACCAGAUAAUAACCAGUAGUAAACAUGUAUUGCUGUUAUUCAGUUUGUCACACACAAUCACCAAAUAAAAGGAGGAUUUGGAGUGUAUUCCAAGAUGAUAAAUGAACCAAAUAUUCUCUGGAGGAGUGUUAACUACACAGAUUCAAUCCCUCGUCAUCUAUUAACAGGAGAUGAAUAUUUUAGGUAGCCUAUAAUUGUAAUAGAAACUAGUGAGAAAGCAAGCUUUAAGUUAUGUUACCAACCAAAUCAAUAGAUUUAUAAUGAUAAGUUAAUGGGUUUUGUCACACAUCUACGUAAGGUAGGCAAAGAACAAUAUUUUGGGGAAGACAUCUGGUUGCAAAUAAUAAGUACUAUGUAACAAGAGUGAACAUAAAACAUUUUAUCUACUAAGCAAAUGUAUUUUAAUUAUAGAAGGAAACUAAUUCUGCUGAUCAGUGCCUGAAGUGUUUAUCACCUUGAGGAAAGCAACUAAAUCUUGUGCUCCAAUCAAAAAUCAAUUGACCCACAUUCUGUAACCUCUGAAAGUCAGAGAUGCUGUUUCUCUUCUUUUGGACCUCCUAAGAGUAUUGUCAGUCCCAAAGUAUUCAAAAUAAUAUGAAAUUCUAAGAAGAUUAUAAAAUAAAUAUAUCUCUAAUCCCAGA
rnacentral:lncRNA from 10 species